ACCUGGGGCAUUAAGCCCAUUAUUACCUGGCUAAUCUGUGAAUGUAUCCUGAAUGACCAACUGUAUUGCUACCUGGGGCAUCUGAGAAGAUCGUUACCUGGGAGAUCGAGAUUGCCUUGGGCAUCUAAGAAUAUUAUCCCUGGGGGAUCCAAGCAGUCCAGAGCAUCAAGACCGCUCUUCCUUGGCAGAUGGAUCAGGAUAGUGCUCCCUGGAAGAUUUGAAAGCAGUGCUACCUGGGACAUCUCAGACAAUUGCUACCUGUGAAUUUAAGAGCCCUGUAACAUGAGUGAUCUGAGAGUAUUGUUACCUUGGAUCUGAAGGCCGUGCUGUUUCCUGGGAAUCUGACACCAUUGAAACAUGGAGGAUUUGAUAACAUUGUAACCUGGGGGGAAACAGGACCAUUUUUACCUGGAAGAGCAGAGAGCAUUGUGCCCUGGGGCGGGAUGGGGUACAUGGGAUUUUUACCUGCUGAUCAAGACUAUUGCUGCCUGGAGAUCCUGAGAAGGUUGUGACCAAGGGAUCAAGGCCCUUGGGGAUCUGAAAGUCCUGUCAGAUAGGAGGCCAUUGUUACCUUGGGAUUUGAGAGUAUUGUAAGCUGAGGGUCUUAGAACACUAUUACCUUGGCUGUGAAUAUAACUGUUAUCUGGAAGGGUUACAAGUCAGGUGUAACUCUGCAAGUUUACCUUGUCACCUCGGGGUAUCUGAGAACGUUGUAACUUGGGAAUUGAGAGCUUUAGAACCUGGACGAUGUUAAACCAUUGUCACUUGGGUGAUCCUAGACCAUUUUGUAGGACCUUAGACCGUUGUUACUUGGGGAAACUGAAACCAUUGUAACCUGGAGGAUUGACAUUGUUACUUGGCAUAUUUAAAGAUUGUUACAUGGGAAUUGAGAGCAUUAUAAACUGGGAAUCUAAAAGCA